AGAGUUUGAUCCUGGCUCAGGAUAAACGCUGGCGGCGUGCCUAACACAUGCAAGUCGAACGCGCUCAGCAAUGAGCGAGUGGCGGACGGGUGAGUAACACGUGGGAACCUACCCUGAGGUGAGGAAUACCGGCGAGAAAUCGCCGACAAGACCGCAUAGGCUCGGAGUCAACACCGAGCAAAGCCGCAAGGCGCCGCAGG
rnacentral:rRNA from 1 species